GCCCUUAUAUCUUUGUGGUGUAUACUAGUGCAACAAAAAGAUGUAAACCCCGUGUCUACACCACGCAUGCAUGUGAUGGAUGACGAUGUCGGCCUGGUCCUUGCCCGUGACUUGCUCGUAACGGAACGAAUAGCAUAUGUAUGUGUGUAUAGUAUACGUACACACAUACGAUCGAUCACGGGGUUGAUAUAUCGAUCGGUACUACUGCAUCCGUUUCUGUGGGGGUAUAGUAUACGUACAUGCACAAGUCACAAGUGACGUUUCGUUCAUCUCACCAUACUCAGAACUGUAUGUUAUUCUCGGAAGAAAACGAUGUACUACGUACGUAUCACUGACACUUCACGUUUAAGGCGGAGCUGCAUGAGAUUCUCUUCACAUGAAUACAUAGCUUGUAGCAUAGCUUAAAUGACUACGUUUCUAUGACGAAACCUGGCUUUCUAGCACUACUCUUUCAGUGUGAUAUGGUGCGGUCGUCAGCUACGACAUCGUGUGUCAAUGUCUGACUUUGUCAAUCCUAAGAUUAUUGGCUCGGUCUCUUGAAGAUGUUGAUAGAAGUAGGGCACAUAUUGUUCCAAACAGUUAGAUUUUUCGUAUAGGAGUACAGGUAUAUCAUGACCUUUUUUUAUUUCUGGAAUAACAGGCCUGAGUAUGCACUCACGCAACCUUUUAAUAAGGAAAACGCAAAAGCGUGCGCAUGCACAUGCAUGCACGUAAAAAAAAGGACAUGUAUUUUAUAUCUGCAUGCAUAUCAGCUAAUGUGCCAUGCUCACCGCUAGCUCGACCUAAUUAACAGAAAGAUUUAUUAAAGCAUGAACAUUUUUUGAAUCUUGAGAACUAAAUUUUGAAAAAAGAG
rnacentral:lncRNA from 1 species